rnacentral:rRNA from 1 species
CCUACGGGAGGCUGCAGUGGGGAAUAUUGCGCAAUGGGCGAAAGCCUGACGCAGCGACGCCGCGUGGGUGAUGACGGCCUUCGGGUUGUAAAGCCCUGUCGGGUGGAACGAACGAUCUGGCGGCGAAUAACCGCCGGGUGUGACGGUACCACCGAAGGAAGCCCCGGCUAACUACGUGCCAGCAGCCGCGGUAAGACGUAGGGGGCGAGCGUUGUUCGGGUUUACGUGGGGUGAUGCGCACGUAGGUGGCGAAAUCCCUCGGCUUAACCGAGGUCCCGCAUCCGAUACUGUCUGGCUCGAGUCGAGGAGAGGAAAGCGGAAUUCCCAGUGUAGCGGUGAAAUGCGUAGAUAUUGGGAGGAACACCGGUGGCGAAGGCGGCUUUCCGGACUAGUACUGACGCUGAGGCGCGAAAGCUAGGGGAGCGAACGGGAUUAGAUACCCGUGUAGUC